ACAAAAGCCGUUAGGUGUAGCUGCUUCUGUCGUGAGCUCAAGUGAAAUAACAAUAACAUGGAAGAUGCCAUUACCAAGACCAGGGAAUACAACUUAUUAUAUUGAAGCUUAUGAAGUUGUUCUAAAUGCUCAACCUGCAUUUCUGAAAAUAACAAACGUAACUGGUUUUCAUACGAAGACAGCACAUUUGUUUGGAUUAGAGGCAUAUUGGAACUAUACGUUUUCAGUAGUUGCUGCCACAGACAAAGGCAAUAGUGAACAGUCUGAAAUGUCAACUUUUGUAACAACAAAGCAAGAUACUCCUGGCAAAGUAACGAAUUUUGAAAUCAAAAGACCGACUGUGAUACUAACGACAAUGGAAGUUUCCUAGAGUAUACCUUUAUUUAGAGAAAGAAAUGGUAUCAUUAAGGAGUAUAAAAUAAGCCAUAACAUUAGUGGGACAACACAAAAGGAAGUUAUUGUUGCAGAUUCCGAUGUUUUCCAAAAAUUGUAUUACAUUACACCAGGUAGACAUUAUCAGGUUGAGAUAUAUGCUGUAAAUUCACUUAACCAAGAAGGAGAAAAACAGCUGACGAUAUAUUACGCGUCAUCAAAAC